UUCAAGAAGUCUCCUGCUUUUGCAUCAGGAACAUUUUGGUAGGUAGGUAAGAAGCAUGGAGGAAUCCAUUGUCCUCUGCCUACAAAGAGGCAAAGGCACCCCUUCUUUACCUCUUCCUGCACUGAGUUAAUUGAAUGCAAAUAAUUUUUGCACUUUCAACUCAGUUUCAGCUACUUAAGUAAGCUGUGGACAAAUAAGGAAAGUAGGAGAAAGACAGAGAAAGUAGGUCAUUUAAAAGCAGCUUAUAGGGUGAGACAACAGAGGAUUAAUAAGGACAGUCCCUGCCAAACCAGGAUAGUUGGACGUUAUGGGAAAUGUCAAGUUCCUGGCACUGUCUUCUGUUGGUUUUCUGUGAAUGUGUUUGCUGAGGCCAAGUGAUGGAGCAGAUAUAGUGAAGGGGGAGGCCAGAAAGCGAGUGGAAGUCUUUUAGUGCACAUAUAUGAAAGUGAUAAACAAAAAGCUAAUAGCAUCAUCCUCCAUGCACUGGAAACUCUCAUACAAAAACGGAAAUACAGCUGUUAACCACUGAGAGAAAACAAUAAAUUGAAUCUUCAUCAACAAGAACUUCAGUCCAUGGGAGUCUAGUAGAAAUAUGCAUAAAUCAGUGCAUCUGAAAUGCUUGUAAGAGUAUGAAGAAUGAAAAACUCAAGCAAAAACAACUUUUCUUUUAGUUUUGAAGAGCACUUGAAGAGUUAUAAUUGAAGGAGAGAACACUGCCUACCAGAAGCAGAGAAUUGGGAGAAAUGAGCUUAGAGUUUCUGGCAAAACAAAAUUUUACAGUACUUACCAUUUUUCUCAUUUAUCAUCAACCCAUCACUUCCUUGAUCAACAAAAAACCUAUACAGAGGUUAAGGUGUUUGUUUUGAGGAUUAAAUACAGAGUAUAAUGGUUACAGAAGCUAUCUAAAAAUAUAUUUAGUUUUAUAUACUGUAUCAUGAAUUUUAAUGUUGUUAAAAAAUUAAAAUAAGAAAUUAUCCCCUUGAUUAUCUGAGUAGUACUACUGAAUUUUAUUAUUCUCAUAUUAUGUAGUGUA